rnacentral:lncRNA from 13 species
GUGUGCAACAGAAAUCUUAUAUUGGCAGCUGACAGAAUACUCACAUGACUUGCCAAUCUAUGGGUUACAAGCCGUUACAAUGGAAUAAACCAAAGGAAGCUCCUGAAAAUUACUUCUUCAGUCAAAAAAGUCCCUCUUCCAUAUGGCUGCUGCAGUUUGCUGGGGGUUCACUCCAGACCCUAGUCACCUUGGUCCCUGCUGAACCUUGUGGUGUCACCAACGAAGGCUUUGAAACAGCAAAGAUGGCAGCCUGCUCCUUUCUCUGGAAGCUCUGUCUCAAGUAGGCACCCAAUCCUGUAUGAGGUGUCUGGAGGUCCCUAUUGGGAGGUCUCACCCAGUCAGGAGGAACAGGAACAGAGACCCACUUAAAGAAGCAGUCUGGCUUCCCUUUGGCAGAGCACGUGUGCUGUGCUGACUGCUCUGCGUCUCCAGAUCCAGCAGCCUGGAAAGACUCACUGAACUGCAGAGACAGUGGCCGUUCCACCCCCCAGGCACUCCAUCCCAGGGCAAGACCCUGAGUUCUGUUUAUAAAACGCUGGCUGGAGUUGCUGUAAUUCAC